UACAUUUACAUAAAGAAAUUAGAUAACAUAAAUUAGAUUACAUAAAGAAUGUUUUAUUAGUCCAUUAGUACUGUUGAUAAAUUGAGGAACAUUUGUGUUGGACAAAAAGCAACUUACCACAUCAGUAACUAACUCAACAUGUGAAUGUAGUAUUGAGAACAUACAUCACUAAGGGAAUAUUUUUGAAUGUUACAGGGACAGAUGAGCAGACGCAUGUGCUUAUCCGGUGGAGAGCAGCUAAUGAAGCCCUCUUCACCGGAAAGCGAAAUGCUGCCAUCAAAGGCUUUGAAGCUUUUGUGGUGGAGCAGGGCCUGCAAGCCAAGGUCACGGCUUCAUUCAUUAAAAAAAAAUGGGAAAACUUGAAACAAAAAUAUAAAGAACUGAAAUGUCCAGCAACCGGCGUGAGCACUGAGGAUGGAGAGCCCACAGCAGCAUCAUGGAAGUGGUAUAGUGCCAUGGAUGAGGCAAUUGGGAGCAGACCCUCCAUCACACCACCUGCUCUCGUUGCCUCAUCUGGGCCAGAUGUUGCUGUGGCCUCUUCAUCCUCAGUGAUGGCAGCACCUGUGAGCAAAAAAAGAAAAGGGGAUCUCACCAAUCUGAUGAGGGAGAUGGAGGAACGGGAAGCGGAGAGAGAGCGGGAAGCAUCGGAGAGGGAGGAAAGAAGAUGGCGAGAAAUGGAGGAGAAGGAAGACCGGAGGGAACGAGAGAGACAGGAGAGAGAGGAGAGACGAGAAAGAGAAGCAAGAGAAAGAGAAGAGCGAUGGCGGCAGGAAACAAGUGAGAGAGAGGAAAGGAGAGACGGAGGCAAAGGAAAGGGAGGAAAGAUUCCUUCGCCUCCUUGAGGCUCUCACAAAAAAAUGAAUUAAAUAAAUUGUAAAAUAAAAGCAUGUUCUGAUCAUUUACACAUCUGGUUUACAUAAAGAACAAACAUUUUAAAAUAGAUUUUAUCUAUCUAUCUAUCUAUCGAUAUGCAUACAGUACUGUGCAAAAAUCAUUUGCCACUACUUGCUUUGUUGUUUUAGCAAUGCUUUAAUGACCAUCCAUAUUUAUUUUCUAGUCUCUUUUAUUAAGAUAAAAAGAUUCAGAUUUUUAAAAAUGGUUUUAUGUAUCUCCUUUAUUUUCUAUAAAGGAGAUACAUAAAACCAUUUUUAAAAAUCUGAUCGAAAUGGCUCCUAUAGGCAAAUAAAUAUAUAUAUAUAUUGUGUAAUCAUCUGGACGCCUUGCAGUUUUUCAAAUAAACUCUCAAGAAGUUCCGUCUUUUGCUCAAAAUAAAGGAGGUCACACCAAAUACAUGCCACUUUAGCCUAUAGAAUAUGUUUUUUAUUUAUUUAUUUUUUGCAGAUUUUUAACAUGGCAUACAAAUUUCAUGUAUGUAUGUAUAUAUAUAUAUAUAUAUAUAUAUAAAAUGGCAUUGCUAAAACAACAUCAAAUGGUGGCCUAAGACUUUUGCCCGAUAUGAUGCAUAUAAAACAAUUUCUAGACAUUCAAAGUACAUUGUGGAUUUAUAGACAUUU